CUGCAACAGCCAGAAAAACACGCCCACACCCCUCCGCUGACCUCGCUCUGGCCGCACUGGCCACCUCCUAAAAUCUAACGGAUGGAGUUUCUUGUCAUUAUCUUCCUUGACCUCUGGGGCGUUUGACGCUACCGACUUCCUUCGACUUGACACCCUGUCCCGGCUUCUCCUCCUGCACCUUUGCCCUUCUUUUCUCGUCUCUUCAUCUUCUCCUCCCCUAAAUGUCGGUGAUCUCCAGGGUCUUUUCCUCACCCCCUUUUCAUUUCAAAUGCCGUUCCUGGUAAAACAUUCACAAAUCCACGCCUUCAACCCCAGAGCUCUGUCUCGGGUCCACACAUCUUUUGGCCUACACUGUCUCUGGGUGACUUCAUCCACACUCAUGGUUUUAGUUACUGCCUGCAAGCUGAUGACACUCAAACUCAUAGCACAGCCCAGAUGCCUUGCAAGCUUUAAUAAUGAAAAAAUAUAUACACACACAUUUAUAUAUAUAUAUAUAUAUGUUGUAUAUAUAUAUGCACACACAUUCGAAAGCCUAUUAGAUGUCACCUGGUUGUCCCAGAGACACCUUGAACUCCAAAAGUCAAAAGGUAUCAUUGUCUCCCCUCCAUCCUGUCUAAACUUUGGUCUUUUUUUCCCUGCUGUAGUGAAUGGCACUAUUCCCUCCCCACUUUUCCUUAAUACCUCCUGAAUACCAUCUCCAUUCCCACUGCACUAAGAAUUGAAGCUCAUUUCUUCCCCAGAUUGUUGAGAGUAUUUUCAAUGUUCCCCCAUCUCCACCCUGUGCCUUCUGUUAUCAGUUUAUCCUCUGUACUGCUGGAACAGUGUUUCUAAAAUGCAGAUUCGAUCAUGUCCCAUCUCUGCGAAAAGCCUAGCAUGGCUCCUGACGGCUUUGCAGGACAGUCUUUAAUCUCUCAGGCCCUGUGCCGAGUUACAGAGGAAAAGAAACACUAUUCUUGGCCUUGUGUACCUGCAGUCCCAGUGAGAAAAGCGUGACACCACUGAUUGGUUACCUUUGUGCCGGGCACUGUGUCAGGAGCUUUGCGCACACACAGGAUUACACAUGGAAGGCAGGAAGCAGAGUACUUACAAACAUGGACUCUGGAGCCCGGUUGCCUGGGUGCAGAUCCUGGCUUUGCCACUUCUUAGCUUCGUGACCUGGGGUAAGGUGCUUAACCUCUGUGUUGAGUUUCCUCAACGGUAACAUAGAAAAAAUAAUACUACCUACCUGUAAGGGAUGAAGUGAAGAUUAAAUAAAAGGAUCUAUGUAAAGUGCUUAGAAUAGUAAAGGCUCA
rnacentral:lncRNA from 1 species